rnacentral:rRNA from 1 species
GCGUUGUUCGGAUUUACUGGGCGUAAAGGGCGCGUAGGCGGUGUGACAAGUCACUUGUGAAAUCUCCGAGCUUAACUCGGAACGGUCAAGUGAUACUGUUGUGCUAGAGUACAGAAGGGGCAAUCGGAAUUCUUGGUGUAGCGGUGAAAUGCGUAGGUAUCAAGAGGAACACCUGAGGUGAAGACGGGUUGCUGGGCUGAUACUGACGCUGAGGCGCGAAAGCUAG